ensembl:lncRNA
GCUUACUGCUACUAUAGAAGGAUCUCUGGUUGGGGAUCCCUCUCUUGUGGAGUUCUUUCUGCAAGCCUAGAUCUUUGGAGACGAAAAUAGCGUUUGUUACAGCAGAGCAAGUUGCACAUCCUUCAAAUGCAGACUUCUGUCUACAGCAUCAUGAUUCACAGGAAGGAAACCCUGUUAUAAGUAAGGCAGGCAGCGAAGAGAGAGAGGAUCCUGUGCUGGCUGCAGAGGCAGUGUUGUUGGAGAGGCAGCUACAGAGCCCACAAAACAUUUAAUAUAAAUACGAGCCACAGUGAAGUGCCUUGGUACCCAGGGCAGAUAAGCAGCUUAGUGACACUUUUCUCUUGAUGAAACAGAGCCACAGCAAGUCUGGAAGACAUCUCCAGGUGGGUGAGGAUGCCUGGUAUACUCACAGCUGCUUGCACCAAGAUGACUGCCGGGAUGGUGGCAUGGAACAAGCAGGUGUCAAACUGGGCACUGCUCUGCUAGCCCUGGACUGGGUGCAGUGACCUCUGGGCCUGUUUGCUAUUCAAGGCUGGAAGUGAAUGAAGCCUGGGUGUCUCAGCUAGGCAAUAGUGUGGAAAAGCUCCAGCAGGACAGGAGCAGGAAGCACACUAACUUGCUUCCUGGUUAUCUGUUUGUGACGUAAAUAUUGAUCAUUGUGGGCAUGAUUAAAGAUCAGUAUUUAAAUGAAAAUCCUUCAGUAUAAAUCAGAAACUGAAAUAUCAUUUUUUUAAUGCUUUUUGUCCUGUGAUGCUUGUUUAUCACUACUAGGUCCCUUAUUAAUACAGGGCUGCUGCUUGACACUUGUAUUUAGUCAAGGCAAAGCACAAGUUUCAGUGUAUUUUCAAUAUCCUCCUUUUCUUUCUUCCUCCCAGUCCCUGAAAAAAGUAACAGAGUUUCAAAGCCAAUAUAAUGAAAAACACAGGAAGAUAUUAGGUCCACUGUGAUAAUGCAAGUCUCAUCUAUCUAAUGUUGAAUGGUAACUGUGCAUCUUAAAAAUCAAGGAAGAUUGUAUUGUUAUUAAUGCCACUGAUAUUCUGAAUUUCAUUAGGCCUGUGGAAAAAAAAAAUGUUGGUCCCCAGUAUAGUGUUGUUUUUUCCUGGUUAAAAGUUUUUUAAAAAAAAAAGUCUCAGUGAUAAAGUGAAAGGAAUAUCUGAAAGUAUUUAAGGAUGUUGUUGCAUAGGAGAGACACUGGAACCGAUGUAUGAGUGCAGACCUACACUGGAUGUGGAAAUGAUCCAGUGCAUCUCAGCAGCAGCAGCUGUGCUCAGUCUGUCAUGUGAACAUUUGUCCUUCUGAGUUGUGCAAUUAUGUUAGAACUGUGGGGUCUGAAUCUUGAGUUGCAGCACGUCGUAAUAGCUCAUAUUUAAAAGUUAAUUUAACUUAUUCUACCACUGCAAUAAGUCAUCUGCUCGUAUACAUUAAUAAGCUAAAGUUAUUUAAAGCGCUAAGAGAAAUAUUUAUUGUGGAUUGAACAAUGAAAGCAGUUUGAUAUCAGAAAGUGAAACUAGUUCAUUUAAGAAUUUAUAGUGACAUGUCUUUCAUAUAUUUCUUGUUGCAUCAUGAAUAAUUGCUAACCCCCAAGGUGUGCAUGUUAUAUGGCUGUAAGUUUAUCUGGAGCCUUAGAGAAAAACACAAAUCAUUCACAGGUCACUAGGGAACUCUCCUAGGCUACACUGGAGAGCUUUGUUCCCAUCUCCUUUAGAUCUAGAGUGAAAUCAGGUGUUUUAAAUGAAGAUAAAUCAAACACAGACUUUAAUCUCUGAUUUAAGGUAAUUUGUACUUUUAGACCACUAGCAGGACUGUGUGCCGGAGUUGAGUGGAAGAGGAGUAAGACACAUUUGAGUGCUUGUCUCAGCUCUGACAUGUUACCUAAUUCUCCAAAAGCAGAGCUGGCACUACUGCCUUCCAGCUGAAAAUCUCAGAUUCCAGUUUAUCAGGAUGCUAAUGCAAUAAGGUGAGAUGCUUACUGAGACAAUGUCUGAGCCAUUCAUGAAGUUCAGGCAAAUCCACCGCUGCAUGGAUGUGCCUCUUAGGGGAAGGCACUGAUACAAUCAAUGCUCAGGUGAACUUCUUUGGGCUAGUACAUCUGCUCUGGAUUAUGCCACCCACACUGGCAGUGAGUUUGUGUUGUUCCACUUACCCAACAACAUCUCUGGGCAGUAGAUUAAUUACUCAAAAGUCAUAGAUUACAUUUCAAAACCAUUGAACGUGCUUUGAGUACAAGGCUCAGAACUUGCUCUGCCUAUACCAGAGCUUCUGCUACUUAGACUUGUACAAAGCUUGACUCUGCUCUCAAAGUAAGAAAAAUGAGGUGGCAGAAGGAAAUCCAGAAGGUCCCAGGAGGGAGACUUUGCCCAUCUCAGCUGUGUACCACUCCUAGAGCUCCACUCGGACAUCUCAGAAGUCUUCCUCAUUUCAGUGAGAUUGCUGUUGUUCCUGAAGCACUGUGUUGAGGCAUCCCUAUACUUUGGAUAAAGAGAAAUUUCUCAGGAAUACAGAUUUGUAGUGCACUUGGAAAGAGAGAUUUGGCUUCUCUUCCCACCCACACAGCAGAAUUGUGCAGAUGUGCUGUUUCUGAGGCCAUUGGAUAUGGAACACUGAAAAGUGACCAGAACAGACAUGUAAGUAAAUUCUGGUGAUGUAAGGGUCAGAUUUUCAUGCACAUAAUGAAAUCCAUACCACACAAAUACACAUAUAUAUUUCCAUAUUCAAGCAAGUGCAGCCAAACACAGCAAAAUUGCAUAGUGCCUGGUACCAUCAGAAUCAAGUCUCUCUGUUUUCUAGUCAAAACCAAGCAAAAAGUUCUGUGCUUCUGCUCAUCUUCUAAUAUCCUUAGAGAAUAUUUUAUUUCUCUAACUGAACUACUUUCAUAUUUUUUUCAUAUUUUAAAAGCUGC